AUGACUAGAUCGAUGGUGACAAUGGCGGGGUACAUGUCUCCGCAAAGUCGUAAGAUCAUGUAUGGGGGCUGACGCCUGCCCAGUGCCGGAAGGUCAAGGAAGUUGGUGAACUGAUGACAGGGAAGCCGGCGACCGAAGCCCCGAGUGACGGCGGGCCGAACUAUAACGGUCCUAAGGUAGCGAAAUUCCUUGUCGGGUAAGUUCCGACCCGCAUGAAAGGCGUAACGAU
rnacentral:ncRNA from 1 species